rnacentral:rRNA from 1 species
UGGUAGUAACACGUGGAUAACCUACCUAUAAGACUGGGAUAACUUCGGGAAACCGGAGCUAAUACCGGAUAAUAUAUUGAACCGCAUGGUUCAAUAGUGAAAGACGGUUUUGCUGUCACUUAUAGAUGGAUCCGCGCCGCAUUAGCUAGUUGGUAAGGUAACGGCUUACCAAGGCAACGAUGCGUAGCCGACCUGAGAGGGUGAUCGGCCACACUGGAACUGAGACACGGUCCAG